GGCAGGUAGGAGCACAUGGAACUCUUGUGGGAGCGGUGAAAUGCGUAGAUAUCAAGAGGAACGCCAACGGCGAAAGCAGUGUGCCGGGCCUGUCCUGACGCUCAGGUGCGAAAGCGUGGGGAGCGAACGGGAUUAGAUACCCCGGUAGUCCACGCCGUAAACGAUGUGUACUAGGUCGCGGUCGGUCUGACCCGCUCGCGGCCGAAGCAAAAGUGGUAAGUACACCGCCUGGGGAGUACGGUCGCAAGGCUAAAACUCAAAGGAAUUGACGGGGGCUCACACAAGCGGUGGAGCAUGUGGCUUAAUUCGAAGCAACGCGAAGAACCUUAUCCUGGGUUUGACAUGUAUGGAUGCCCUCGUCGAAAGGCGAGUAAGCUGCCUUCGGGUGAAACUUACACAGGUGCUGCAUGGCUGUCGUCAGCUCGUGUCGUGAGAUGUUGGGUUAAGUCCCGUAACGAGCGAAACCCUUGUCGUUAGUUGCCAGCGCGUCAUGGCGGGGACUCUAACGAGACUGCCGGUGUUAAACCGGAGGAAGGUGGGGAUGACGUCAAGUCCUCAUGGCCUUUAUGCCCAGGGCUGCACACGUGCUACAAUGGUGUCGACAAAGCGACGCAAGGCCGCGAGGCGGAGCAAAUCGCAAAAACGGCGCCUCAGUUCGGAUUGUAGGCUGCAACUCGCCUACAUGAAGUUGGAAUCGCUAGUAAUCGCAGAUCAGCUAUGCUGCGGUGAAUAUGUUCCUGAGCCUUGUACACACCGCCCGUCAAGUCAUGGAAGCCGGGAGCGCUUGAAGCCGGGUAGCUAACCUUCGGGAGGCGCCUGUCGAUGGUGAGUUCGGUGACUGGGGCUAAGUCGUAACAAGGUAGCCGUAGGGGAACCUGCGGCUGGAUCACCUCCUU
rnacentral:rRNA from 1 species